rnacentral:rRNA from 1 species
CCUACGGGUGGCAGCAGUGAGGAAUAUUGGUCAAUGGGCGAGAGCCUGAACCAGCCAAGUCGCGUGAAGGAUGACGGCCCUACGGGUUGUAAACUUCUUUUAUCAGGGAGCAAAUGGGUCCACGCGUGGGCUUAGCGAGAGUACCUGAAGAAAAAGCAUCGGCUAACUCCGUGCCAGCAGCCGCGGUAAAACGGAGGAUGCGAGCUUUAUCCGGAUUUAUGGGGUUAAAGGGGUGCGUAGGCGGAAUAUCAAGUCAGCGGUAAAAAUUCGGGGCCAAACCCAGUAGUGCCGUUGAAACUGAUGUUCUUGAGUGGGCGAGAAGUAUGCGGAAUGCGUGGUGUAGCGGUGAAAUGCAUAGAUAUCACGCAGAACUCCGAUUGCGAAGGCAGCAUACCGGCGCCCAACUGACGCUGAAGCACGAAAGCGUGGGUAUCGAACAGGAUUAGAUACUCGGGUAGUC